UCCCAAUUGUCCAAUUAGAAGGUCAAAUGGUCAAUUUGAACUUAUUAAAGACCUUUAAGGUAAAUUUUGAUCAAUUUUUUAUCAAAUUUGAUUAUUAAAUGGUUCCAAUUGGCCAAUUUGACAGUACAAGGUUCCAAUUGUCCAAUUUGAAGGUCAAUUUAACUCAAAAAGGUUCCAAUUGACCAAUUGGAAGGUCAAAUGGUCAAUUUGAACUUAUUAAAGACUUUCAUAGGUCAAUUUUGAUCAAUUUAUUAUCAAAUUUGAUUACUUAAAGGUUCCAAUUGUCCAAUUUGACAGUAUGAACUCCUAAUUGUCGAAUUGGA